GGUUACUUGUAAACAAAAGGUCUUCUGGAUCAUGUUUACAACUCCUAAAAGCCUAAAACCCCUCGUCCCUCCCAGAAUUCCCAACCUAACUCAGUAACGCUACUCCCCUUCAUAACGCUACCCUCUUUCUCGCCCUAAUAUACAACUGGUCUUUCAUCUAUAUCUAUCUAUUAUAUAUAGAAUCUCUAUCCAGUUCUAAACCUGUAUGGCUAUAUCAGAUAAUGUAAUGAUGAUGCAUGAAGAAUGUUUGAAAGGUAACUUUGUUACUAUUGAACGAUUAAGGAAAUCGAUUCCGGCCUCUAAUCUUCGCAUGCAGGUUGUGAAUGGUGGUGAAGAUUUAACAUCAAGUUCAGAGGAUGAGUCAAUAGAGAUGGCAGAACUUGAUAUAUGAUGAUGGAGAAAACAUGAAGGUGGCGGGGCCAUGCCCCAUUUUACAGUUGGUGCACAAGAUUCAUAUCUUUUUGUUAUUAUUGAAAGGUAUUUUAGACACUGGAUUCAUAGCCAGAUAUAUUUUCUUUGUAGAGUUUUCUACUGCCAGGCUCCAGUUGGCUUUUGUCUGUUAACCAUAGCGAAUUUGUCCAAUUGAUAAAAUUCAUUGUAUAUAGUUUGUGUAAGAGUGGUUUCAAAAUGUCAAUAAGUGAUGAGUUUAACAUA